GCUCCUACCGAUUGGAUGACUCGGUGAAAUUACCGGAGUAUUAAUUAUGAAGGUAAUUAAAUCACGUUAUCUAGAGGAAGGAGAAGUCGUAACAAGGUAUCG
rnacentral:rRNA from 1 species